ACAUAAACUAUAGCAAAGAGAAUCGCUAAAGCAUAGAAAUUACAGGAUUCUCAGUAGUUGUUGUUUGAUUUGUAAAUAUUGUCGAAUAUUUUGUUCUUAAGAUGUUAUUUAUUAUUUAAACUAUCAUUAAGCGACGGGGCAAAAAGUCAUACAAAAUGUGUGGUGCAUUGAUGAGUUAGAAUGAAAGAAGCUAGUAGUUUGGUGGGUAUCUGAAAGCAAUGAGUUAUCUGCCCUUCAUUUUUCACAUGUUUUUGUGUUAUACACAGUUUGCAAUGAUAGAUAUAUCUUUAAAAAAAAUUACAUUUAUCACAUUUGUUACUUUCUAUUGUCCAUGAUGAAUAAAAUCUCUGCC
rnacentral:misc_RNA from 1 species